UACGAAGGGGGGCUAGCGUUGUUCGGAUUUACUGGGCGUAAAGCGCACGUAGGCGGAUUGUUAAGUCAGGGGUGAAAUCCUGGAGCUCAACUCCAGAACUGCCUUUGAUACUGCAAGUCUCGAGUCCGAUAGAGGUGAGUGGAAUUCCUAGUGUAGAGGUGAAAUUCGUAGAUAUUGGGAAGAACACCGGUGGCGAAGGCGGUUCUCUGGGCAUGACCUGACGGCUGAGGAGCGAAAGUGUGGGGAGCGAACAGG
rnacentral:rRNA from 1 species